rnacentral:rRNA from 1 species
AUGUCGGCGCCUCUUUUGGACAGAGACCCAUGCCCAGACCGCAUCAUCGAGGAUGCCGGCGGUACUUUCGCCAUGGGCGCCGUGGGAGGUUCUGUGUUCCACCUCCUCAAGGGCCUCCACAACUCGCCCAAUGGCGCGCGAAUCAGUGGCGGCAUGCAGGCCGUGCGAUCGAACGCCCCGCGGAUCGGCGGGAGCUUUGCCGUGUGGGGCACCGUCUUCUCCAUCACCAGCUGCGCCGCGGUCUUCGUGCGCCAGAAGGAGGACCCCUGGAACUCCGUCAUCGCCGGCGCCGCCACGCACGGGUUUCUCCACCUGCGCAUGGGCCUCAGGGUUGCAGGCCGCAGGGCGGUCUAUGGCGGCUGUCUCCUCGCGCUCAUCGAGGGCGGCGCCCUCAUGGUAAACCGUCUCUUCGACGCAAAGAAGAACCCCCCGCCGCGGCCGCGCCCUGCCCAUGACCCCAACUUGGCCACGGCGAUCCCAUGCCCGCCCCAGCCCGCCGUGUCCCCUGCGGAGGUCGCGAGCUCGAGCGGUGGGGGUAGCUGGUUUGGGGGCCUAUUCGGCAAGGAGAAGGAGAAGAAGGCCAGCGGCAGUGGCGGCAAGUCGGAGGUAUUAGAGAGCUUUGAGACGCCCAGCCCUCCGAUGCCAUCAUCAUCUGAAUACAAGUGA